rnacentral:rRNA from 1 species
ACGCUGGCGGCAGGCCUAACACAUGCAAGUCGAGCGGUAGAGAGAAGCUUGCUUCUCUUGAGAGCGGCGGACGGGUGAGUAAUGCCUAGGAAUCUGCCUGGUAGUGGGGGAUAACGUUCGGAAACGGACGCUAAUACCGCAUACGUCCUACGGGAGAAAGCAGGGGACCUUCGGGCCUUGCGCUAUCAGAUGAGCCUAGGUCGGAUUAGCUAGUUGGUGGGGUAAUGGCUCACCAAGGCGACGAUCCGUAACUGGUCUGAGAGGAUGAUCAGUCACACUGGAACUGAGACACGGUCCAGACUCCUACGGGAGGCAGCAGUGGGGAAUAUUGGACAAUGGGCGAAAGCCUGAUCCAGCCAUGCCGCGUGUGUGAAGAAGGUCUUCGGAUUGUAAAGCACUUUAAGUUGGGAGGAAGGGCAGUUGCCUAAUACGUAACUGUUUUGACGUUACCCGACAGAAUAAGCACCGGCUAACUCUGUGCCAGCAGCCGCGGUAAUACAGAGGGUGCAAGCGUUAAUCGGAAUUACUGGGCGUAAAGCGCGCGUAGGUGGUUUGUUAAGUUGGAUGUGAAAUCCCCGGGCUCAACCUGGGAACUGCAUUCAAAACUGACUGACUAGAGUAUGGUAGAGGGUGGUGGAAUUUCCUGUGUAGCGGUGAAAUGCGUAGAUAUAGGAAGGAACACCAGUGGCGAAGGCGACCACCUGGACUGAUACUGACACUGAGGUGCGAAAGCGUGGGGAGCAAAC